UUACGGCCGUACCACAUUGAAACGGCCGGUUCACAUUCGAUCACCGAAGGUAAGCAACAUCGAGCCUGGUCAGUACCAAGUUGGGUAACCGUUUGGGAAGACCACGUGAUGUAAG